GAGAGAGAGAGAGAGAGAGAGAGAGAGUGUGUGAGAGAGAGAGAAAGAGAGUGUGUGUGUGAGAGAGAGAGAAAGAGAGAAAGAGAGUGUGUGUGAGAGAGAUAAGAGGAGGAGGAAGGGUCGGUUAGGGUUUUCCAGUAAAUAGUACUUUCACGUUCAACGGUCACUGGAGAAGAAACCACGUAUGCCGCUCGCCUAACAGAAUACAGUGUCCUUCACUGAGGGACGCUCAGGGAUUAUUACGGGGAAUGGAGAUUGUAAUACUUGUUUCAUUAUUGUCUCUGUAUUGUGACUUCACCGGUAAGUUAGACUUCUGAUCUAGUACAUCGUUGUGAUACAGGUGCUUGGUAAAUUAGACUUCUGGUCUAGUACAUCGUUGUGAUACAGGUGCUUGGUAAGUUAGACUUCUGUUCUAGUACAAUGUUGUGAUACAGGUGCUUGGUAAGUUAGACUUCUGUUCUAGUACAAUGUUGUGAUACAGGUGCUUGGUAAAUUAGACUUCUGGUCUAGUACAAUGUUGUGAUACAGGUGCUUGGUAAAUUCCAUUCUACUGAGGUAAAAUAUGGAAUUGUUCUAAGAUGGUCGUACCAUUGAUCAUUUACCUAUUUGAUUUUAGGAUUAUUGUAAGUACCCCCCCCCCCC